rnacentral:rRNA from 1 species
GCCACAAGCGACGAUCCAUAGCCGACUGAGAGGUGACCGGCCACAUGGACUGAGACACGGCCCAAACUCUACGGAGGCAGCAGUGGGAAUAUUGCACAAUGGGGGAAACCUGAUGCAGCGACGCCGCGUGAGCGAAGAAGUAUUUCGGUAUGUAAAGCUCUAUCAGCAGGGAAGAAAAAUGACGGUACCUGACUAAGAAGCCCCGGCUAACUACGUGCCAGCAGCCGCGGUAAUACGUAGGGGGCAAGCGUUAUCCGGAUUUACUGGGUGUAAAGGGAGCGUAGACGGCUUUGCAAGUCUGAUGUGAAAGGCGGGGGCUCAACCCCUGGACUGCAUUGGAAACUGUGGGGCUUGAGUGCCGGAGAGGUAAGCGGAAUUCCUAGUGUAGCGGUGAAAUGCGUAGAUAUUAGGAGGAACACCAGUGGCGAAGGCGGCUUACUGGACGGUAAACUGACGUUGAGGCUCGAAAAAAGCGUGGGGAAGCAAACCAGGAUUAGAAUU